GUACUUACAUGGCAAGGAGAAAUACCAUGAUCAGGAAGGUGCUUUUCUCAGGCCAAGGCUUAUCCAUUAUACUCUGGAAGUGCUGACUCGGACGAUUUCCCCCAAAUAGAGAAAACUUGACUGUAUAAUGUGUGGUAGUAGGGACUGCAUUUGAGCUCUCUUUU
rnacentral:snRNA from 1 species